rnacentral:rRNA from 1 species
GAAUUCAGACAAACUCCGAAUGCCAAUUAAUUUAACUUGGGAGUCAGAACAUGGGUGAUAAGGUCCGUGUUCGAAAGGGAAACAGCCCAGACCACCAGCUAAGGUCCCAAAAUAUAUGUUAAGUGGAAAAGGAUGUGGCGUUGCCCAGACAACUAGGAUGUUGGCUUAGAAGCAGCCAUCAUUUAAAGAGUGCGUAAUAGCUCACUAGUCGAGUGACACUGCGCCGAAAAUGUACCGGGGCUAAACAUAUUACCGAAGCUGUGGAUUGUCCUUUGGACAAUGGUAGGAGAGCGUUCUAAGGGCGUUGAAGCAUGAUCGUAAGGACAUGUGGAGCGCUUAGAAGUGAGAAUGCCGGUGUGAGUAGCGAAAGACGGGUGAGAAUCCCGUCCACCGAUUGACUAAGGUUUCCAGAGGAAGGCUCGUCCGCUCUGGGUUAGUCGGGUCCUAAGCUGAGGCCGACAGGCGUAGGCGAUGGAUAACAGGUUGAUAUUCCUGUACCACCUAUAAUCGUUUUA